CUGAAAUUAAGAAUAUUUUUUUACAUUAUGCAAAAACAUUCUACAAGAGACGGAAACAGCCUAUUUUAAAGAUUUAAGAAAGAUGUAGUUUUUUGUCAGUGCGGGUCAAAUUUGAUCAGAUGGUCUUUGCCUAUCUUCAUAGUAAGAAGCUUCAUCGUUUGUUUAAUUUUACAAUGGAUAACAGCAAAAGAAUUGUUGAGCUAUUGAGAAACUGCAAUGUUCGGUUAUUAAGGCUUCCUUACGCCAAACGCGUCAACAGAGCUUACAGCGCUUACCGUUACGCGCUUUGCGUUCAGUCAAAUUCGAUGUCUUCGUAAUUCAAGUUCAGCACUCCAAAUUUUAGAUGCGAAAUAUAUUCAAAGCGCGCCACAAACGGCUUGUCAGCCAAAUUUAUCCCAAGAACCCUUAUGAAGGGUUGAGGAGAGGUAAUUUAAAGAAGAUGUUGCUUUAUGCACACAUGGAUACGAAAAACUAUAAUCAGGUGUUAUUGUACCUUACAAUAAAACUCAAGAAAUACGCGAUAAUUGAUGAGGAAGCGUACAUAAAUCUCACAGUGGAGGCGCUGAACUCGCUGGUGUUUGGACUCUAAAUCAAAUUUGUAAAUCGUCGUACAAAAAACGGCAUAUAUACAUAUGUAUAUAUUUAAAAAAUAAAAUAAGGUUUUAAUUGUUUUAACGAA